ACAUCUAUUUCAUUUAUUAGAAAAAAUUAUAAAACAAUUUAUAUAUUGGUAUAUGGUGACUAUAAUACCUUAAAUUUUUUUCAAGCUAAUUUUGGUCCAGGCCUGCUUAUGUUUUUUGUCUUUCUAUUUUCUUCUUCCCCCAGCGCCUAAGCCCAAGGACAAGGAAAGUUUGGCCUCAAACUUGUGUGCAGAGCUGAUCCCCAAAAAAAGGAAGCUUGGGGUUUGCUUCCUACUGGUACUUGGAAGGAGCAAACUGGAGAGCAUGAAUGAGACGCAGUGGUGUUGUGCUUGAUAAUAACACAAAAAAUGGAAGGCUCAGAUACUUACAGAUGCCUCGUCAAAGCGAGAAGAAGAGAAACGAAAGAUGUGGACUUCGGGGUUGGGGAGCAGCGUUGACCAAGGAUUUAUAACAAUAAGGAGCCCAGAUGAUGUCGGAGCAAGGGGGGUCUAUGGCAGAUCGAAGCAGAAAGACGAAAGGAUAAGAGCUGGGGAUGAUGAUGUAAUAAUCUGUAAUUAGAUGCAGUAUGAGUAUCUUAAUUUUUUGGGAUGGCAGUAAAGCGGAAUUCUAUGAAAUGAAUCAAUUUAUUUAACCCUUUUUACUGAAUAUCUGAGUUCCAACUGCACGAUGUGUUUAGACAAUGAGAGAAUAUAACUAAUGAUAGUAGGUUACUUUUGUAGUCUUAAUCAUGGAUUAAUUUUUAUAGGUUUGAACUCAUAUUUGCAUUAUCAUUAGAUUUAGAUUAUCUCCACUUGAGACUUCUUCAUAAUUAGUGCCAUCGCUCACUCAGUAUCCAUGUAGUAAGACUUCUUUAUUAUUUCUUUAGAAUCAGCAUAAAUCAAUAGGAUAAUUUUUAUAGCAUUCUCUUUUCCUUUAUUAGCUGAUUAGGGUAACCAAUAAUGCAAUUAUAUUGAUUUUUUUCUCUUUUGAUUUUGGUUUACCCCUGCUAUUUAGUGUAGAAAGAGGAGUAAAAGUAGC
rnacentral:lncRNA from 1 species